rnacentral:rRNA from 1 species
UUCCGGGUUGAUCUGCCGGACCUACUAGCUAUCGGGAUGGGGCUAAGACAUGCUAGUUGUACGCUUCCUAGCAACGUUGGGAGCGUAGCGGAAAACUCCGUAACACGUAGUUAAUCUACCCUUAGGACGGGGAUAACCCCGGGAAACUGGGGCUAAUAACCGAUAGGCGGAAACGCCUGGAAUGGUCUUCCACCUAAAGGGUCUUAGAAACAUGCAGAUAAGACUGCCUAAGGAUGAGACUGCGGCCGAUCAGGUAGUUGGUGGGGUAACGGCCUACCAAGCCUAUAACCGGUACGGGCCCUGAGAGGGGGAGCCCGGAGGUGGGAACUGAGACAAGGUCCCAGACCCUACGGGGUGCAGCAGUUGCGAAAACUCUACAAUGCACGAAAGUGUGAUAGGGUUAUCCCGAGUGCCAUCCGAUAAGGUUGGCUUUUCCUUGGUGUAAAGAGCCAGGGGAAUAAAAGGGGGGCAAGACUGGUGUCAGCCGCCGCGGUAAUACCAGCCCCUUGAGUGGUAGGGAUGAUUAUUUGGCCUAAAGCGUCCGUAGCCGGCUUAGCAAGUCUUUCGUGAAAUCCGGUGACCUCAUCAUCGGGCGUGCGAGAGGUACUACUAGGCUUGAGGACGGGAGAGGUCGACGGUAUUUCGGGGGUAGGGGUAAAAUCCUAUAAUCCUCGGAGGACCACCAGUGGCGAAGGCGGUCGACUAGAACGUGCCUGACGGUGAUGGACGAAAGCUGGGGGAGCAAACCGGAUUAGACACCCGGGUAGUCCCAGCUGUAAACGAUGCGGGCUAGGUGUUGGGGCAGCUACGAGCUGCUCCAGUGCCGCAGAGAAGUCAUUAAGCCCGCCGCCUGGGAAGUACGGUCGCAAGACUGAAACUUAAAGGAAUUGGCGGGGGGAGCAC